AUUCAUGUAAUGGCAUCAAAUAUUUAUGAUCUCAGACAUUUUGGAAAGUUUGAAAUUCUUUGGUGACAUCUGGUCUUAUAGAUAUUUUGCUGUCAACUUAGGGCCUGACUGGUUUAAACGCAGCGGGUGCGGUUGCGGUUGCGGAAGUUUGCGGAAACGGGCGGUUGCGGUUUCAAGCGUUAUCAAGUGUUUUGAACGACUGGUUGAGCGUUUGGUAAUGGGUGCGUUUGCGGGAGUUUUAUGACUGGUAAACCAGCGGGUGCGAUAGUAAUUAAAUAAAAAAUAACCAAAAUAAAUAUAAUAUAUUAC
rnacentral:sRNA from 1 species